CCUACGGGAGGCAGCAGUCGAGAAUCUUUCACAAUGGGGGAAACCCUGAUGGUGCGACGCCGCGUGGGGGAAUGAAGGUCUUUGGAUUGUAAACCUCUGUUAUGUGGGAGCAAAUUAAUACGAUAGUACCACAAGAGGAAUAGCCGGUUAAUUCUGUGCCAGCAGCCGCGGUAAUACAGCGGGCUUAAGCGUUGUUAGGAAUCACUGGGCGUAAAGUGUGCGUAGGCUGUUGCGUAAGUCGUGUGUGAAAGGCGCGGGCUCAACCCGAGAACGGCACAUGAAACUGGGAGACUAGAGUGUGUGAGGGGGAGGCGGAAUGCGUGGUGUAGCAGUGAAAUGCGUAGAUAUCGAGAAGAACACUCAUGGCGAAGGCAGGUUCCUGGACAUUAACUGACGCUGAGGCACGAAAGCCAGGGGAGCGAAAGGGAUUAGAUACCCGAGUAGUC
rnacentral:rRNA from 1 species